rnacentral:rRNA from 1 species
GUGCAGCAGUCGCGAAAACUUGUCAAUGCACGAAAGUGUGAACGGGCUACCCCGAGUGCCGUCCGCUGAGGAUGGCUUUUCUCUGCUGUAAGAAGGCAGAGGAAUAAGGAGAGGGCAAGUCUGGUGUCAGCCGCCGCGGUAAUACCAGCUCUCCGAGUGGUAGGGACGAUUAUUGGGCUUAAAGCGUCCGUAGCCGGCGCAGCAAGUCUCCCGUUAAAUCCAACGAUUCAAUCGUUGGACUGCGGGAGAUACUGUUGAGCUAGGAGGCGGGAGAGGCCGACGGUAUUCCCGGAGUAGGGGUGAAAUCUUAUAAUUCCGUGAGGACCACCAGUGGCGAAGGCUGUCGGCUAGAACGCGCUCGACGGUGAGGGACGAAAGCUGGGGGAGCGAACCGGAUUAGAUACCCCGGUAGGUCC